CAAAAAAAAAAAAAAAAACACACAAGAAAAAAAAAAUUCCAUGUUUUCCUGAUUUGCACGAAAUUUUAUACCACAUGAUGUGCCUUGCCUUCGAAGCCUAAGUAUUACUGGACCCGAUAUCAGUGCGAGGGAGUCGCUGCAUGCCCGGGGCUCCCGGGGGGCCGGGGGGCGGGGGGGGCCAGGGGCCGCUGCCCCCCCCUCGCCUCCUGCAUGGCUUCUUCUCGGCCAGAAAAGUCCCUUUUUCUCUCUAUUCUUCUUUUCUAACCAAUUUUCCCCCUCAGAAACGUCUUCCAGUUGGUAAUACCGAUGCAUCCUCUGCGCCAACACACCGGAAUAUGCAAUAGCUGUGGGGGGGGGAGCCGGCCGGGGGGGCGGCCACCCCUUUGCUUUGCCUCUCUUUUCUUUGUUUUCCUUCCCUUUUGGGGGGGUUUUGAUUUGGUUUUUUUUUUUUUUUCUGCUUCCAGCAACCAAAGGCAGCGAGGCGGGAGGCAGCAGGGACCCCGGGCCAGAGGGGGGAGCCGGUGUCCGGCAGGACUGACCGAGGCGCGGGGGGAGCAGGGCUGGAGACCCUCAGGGCUGAUCCUCACGGGGGGCCAGGGUGUCCCACCCCUCCCCAUUCGGGCACCCCCGCUUUUUAAUUGGUUUUCAAUGGGGCGCAGAGGCAGGAGGGCUGAGCCCAGCUGCUCUCGUGACAGGAAUGGAACCGUGUGAAUGUAGCUGUGCGUCCCCCGGGCUGGCGUCAGGGGGGUCACAGCCUGCCCCCCACCUCCACCCCAUCGGCUUCAUCCCCGGGCUGCCGCUGGCACAGCGGGGAAUGGCAGCAGGUGCCUUCUUGCCGCCUCUCCCUGCUGUGCCCGCUGCCGAGAGGGGCCCGACACCCCC